rnacentral:rRNA from 1 species
AACGAACGCUGGCGGCAUGCCUAACACAUGCAAGUCGAACGAGACCUUCGGGUCUAGUGGCGCACGGGUGCGUAACACGUUGGAAUCUGCCCUUUGCUUCGGAAUAACACUUAGAAAUUUCUGCUAAUACCGGAUGAUGUCUAAAGACCAAAGAUUUAUCGGCUUAGGAUGGGCCCGCGUUGGAUUAGGUAGUUGGUGGGGUAAAGGCCUACCAAGCCGACGAUCCUUAGCUGGUCUGAGAGGAUGAUCAGCCACACUGGGACUGAGACACGGCCCAGACUACUACGGGAGGCAGCAGUGGGGAAUAUUGGACAAUGGGCGAAAGCCUGAUAAAGCAAUGCCGCGUGAGUGAUGAAGGCCUUAGGGUUGUAAAGCUCUUUUAAAAGGGAUGAUAAUGACAGUAACGGGAGAAUAAGCUCCGGCUAACUCCGUG